AGAGUUUGAUCCUGGCUCAGAUUGAACGCUGGCGGCAUGCUUUACACAUGCAAGUCGAACGGCAGCGCGGGGGCAACCCUGGCGGCGAGUGGCGAACGGGUGAGUAAUAUAUCGGAACGUACCCAGAAGUGGGGGAUAACGUAGCGAAAGUUACGCUAAUACCGCAUACGAUCUACGGAUGAAAGUGGGGGACCUUCGGGCCUCAUGCUUUUGGAGCGGCCGAUAUCUGAUUAGCUAGUUGGUGAGGUAAAGGCUCACCAAGGCGACGAUCAGUAGCUGGUCUGAGAGGACGACCAGCCUCACUGGAACUGAGACACGGUCCAGACUCCUACGGGAGGCAGCAGUGGGGAAUUUUGGACAAUGGGGGCAACCCUGAUCCAGCAAUGCCGCGUGAGUGAAGAAGGCCUUCGGGUUGUAAAGCUCUUUUGUCAGGGAAGAAACGGGGGUGGCUAAUACCUGCUCCUAAUGACGGUACCUGAAGAAUAAGCACCGGCUAACUACGUG
rnacentral:rRNA from 1 species